AGAAACAAAUUUCUGUUGUUUAUAAGCCAUCUAGUCUUUGUUAUAGCAGCCAGACAGACUGAGACAAUUGCAUUUACUAAUUAUUAUGCAAUUAACCAGAAAAAAAUUUUGUUUCAAUAGAGGGAGCUGAAAAUACUUCUAAAAGUUUUAACACCAAAUUCCUGCUUUGCUAGCUCCUGAGCAUAAGAUAAGUAAAGAAUCUGUCAUAUAUCUGAGUCAUCAUUUUUUGUAUCAGUUUUCUUAGAAAUAAGACUCUUAGUCUGACUGCUCUCUAGGACAUCCACUAGAAAUGCUUUUUUUGCCAUUUGUUGAAUUGUUUACUGGAUUUAUGAUGCUUUAUAUUAUUUAAAGCUUUCUUACAAAAAAUAAAAAGUAAAUACUAUUAAAUAAUGGCCUAAGAUAAUCACAGUUUUAGUAUAGAAAGCACCAAUAUCUAUGGGCGCACAAGAUGUUUACUGUCAUGAAUCUUGUGUUUGUAGAAGAUUUCUCCAUAACAAAUUGAAUGAUUUCAUGGAGAAAAAAUACUUGAUGGCGAUAAAACCUAUUUUUGGGAAAACUCCAAAUCUAUAAAAUCAUUUAUAUAAAAGGUGGACAGCCUUAAUACUUUACUAGAAAGGAUAAAUGGCUAAGAUUUAGUGAUCCAAGAAUCAAUUCUAAAUCAAGAAGUUAAAUCAAAUUCCAAAUAAUGUGGCCAAUAUAGGCCCAGUGCAGCUUUCUCCAUUACAUCAGAGUCAAAAAUUCCAGACUUUCAGUAGGCAGAGCAGGGUUUGACGCUUUGGGCAUAUUACUUAGUUUUACUAAUGCUUCACUUUUCUUGACCAACAUGAGGCCAUGUGUGUGAGAAAACCUUUGGAAAAUCCAAUGUUGUAUGCAGGUGGUGGUGAGGGUGCUCAUUACCAUUUGUCACAAAGCAAUCUUUUCUUCAUCUAGAGGAAGAUGAACUCCAUAAAGUAUUGAGUGUUCCUAGAAUGCGAUCCUGCAAGGCAGCAAGAAAACAGAUGUAUGAAGUGUUCUGCAAAUUUUUCUGAUGGAUCAGUACAAAGCGUGCAGCUACAAUACUUCUUGAGAUGCACGGCACGUUCCGCAUGAAAGAGAAGGAUUUUCUAUUCCACAGCUUUUGAAAAUGCGACCAUUCCACAAGACAUUGAUUAUGGACAAAAAAAGAUAGAUAAAUUUAUUUUCAAUAAUACUAAAUCUUUCAUGGUAUAGGACAACCACUUCUCCUUCAGCAGCACUGCUAACAUGAUAUUCAACUACGAAAAAUAUGAUAUUCUUUCAAGACAAUCAACUUAUGGCAAAGCUUUUUACUUGUUAAGGCAGAGUGAAGACUUUCAAACAUCUUACAUGUGGAAAUGGAAACCAGAAGUCAAUAAAUUUUUUUAUGAGGUUUUGUUUUUUUAAUAUGAAGUUAUUUUCAAGUUCAGUGUAAAAUAAAAAUACUCUCCAGUCA
rnacentral:lncRNA from 1 species